AAAAGGCUCAGGAACUGGUUCGAAGGAUAAGCCCAGUGCUUCACCAUCUUCAUCAGAGAACCACGACUGCCAUGGAGCAGAGCAAGCAGCAUCUGGAAAUAAGAGACCAAGCCCUGAAAGAAAGAAACAUGAUGGAAAAUGAACUAGAGCACAUGAAGUCAAGCUUGCUAGAUGCCAGUCAACAGAUUUCAGACUUGAACAUGCAGCAGACCAUCAUGACUUCAGAGAUGUUAGUGCUGAGAGAGCAGCUGAAUCAGGCAGAAGAUGAGCGCUUUCUGCUGCAGAGGAGAAGC